rnacentral:tRNA from 1 species
GGGGGGGUAGCGAAGUGGCUAAACGCGGCAGACUGUAAAUCUGUUCCUUAGGGUUCGACAGUUCGAAUCUGUCCCCCCCCACCA